UACAGAGGUCUCGAGCGUUGUUCGGAAUUACUGGGCGUAAAGCGUACGUAGGCGGUUACUCAAGUCAGAGGUGAAAGCCCGGGGCUCAACCCGGGAACUGCGUCCGAUACUGGAAGGCUUGAAUCCGGGAGAGGGAUGCGGAAUUCCAGGUGUAGCGGUGAAAUGCGUAGAUAUCUGGAGGAACACCGGUGGCGAAGGCGGCAUCCUGGACCGGCAUUGACGCUGAGGCGCGAAAGCCAGGGGAGCAAACGGG
rnacentral:rRNA from 1 species